rnacentral:rRNA from 1 species
GCAUCAUGGGCGAAUUAUCCGCGAUGGGCGCAAGCCUGACGGAGCAAGACCGCGUGGGGGAAGAAGGCUCUUGGGUUGUAUACCCCUUUUCUCUGAUCAGUACAAAAUGACGGUACCAGAGGAAUCAGCAUCGGCUCACUCCAUGCCAGCAGCCGCGGUAAGACGGAGGAUGCAAGCGUUAUCCGGUAUGAUUGGGCGUAAAGCGUCCGCAGGUGGCAGUUCAAGUCUGCUGUCAAAGACCGGGGCUUGACUUCGGAAAGGCAGUGGAAACUGAACAGCUAGAGUAUGGUAGGGGCAAAGGGAAUUCCUGGUGUAGCGGUGAAAUGCGUAGAGAUCAGGAAGCACAUCGGUGGCGAAGGCGCUCUGCUGGACCAUAACUGACACUCAGGGACGAAAGCUAGGGGAGCGAAUGGGAUUAGAUACCCCAGUAGUCCUAGCAGUAAACGAUGGAUACUAGGUGUUGUCUGUAUCGACCCG